rnacentral:rRNA from 1 species
GAUGAACGCUGGCGGCGUGCCUAAUACAUGCAAGUCGAGCGAAUGGAUUAAGAGCUUGCUCUUAUGAAGUUAGCGGCGGACGGGUGAGUAACACGUGGGUAACCUGCCCAUAAGACUGGGAUAACUCCGGGAAACCGGGGCUAAUACCGGAUAACAUUUUGAACCGCAUGGUUCGAAAUUGAAAGGAGGCUUCGGCUGGCACUUAUGGAUGGACCCGCGUCGCAUUAGCUAGUUGGUGAGGUAACGGCUCACCAAGGCAACGAUGCGGAGCCGACCUGAGAGGGUGAUCGGCCACACUGGGACUGAGACACGGCCCAGACUCCUACGGGAGGCAGCAGUAGGGAAUCUUCCGCAAUGGACGAAAGUCUGACGGAGCAACGCCGCGUGAGUGAUGAAGGCUUUCGGGUCGUAAAACUCUGUUGUUAGGGAAGAACAAGUGCUAGUUGAAUAAGCAGGCACCUUGACGGUACCUAACCAGAAAGCCACGGCUAACUACGUGCCAGCAGCCGCGGUAA